AAAAUUGGAAAUAAAAAACGUAGUCAUUGGGAAGAUAGAAACAUGAUAACAUUACUUAUUUCUUCUCCAUCUUCAUAUGCUUGUGACGUAGUCUUUGGACAUUGUUCUCCUUCAGCAAGUUCUUUCAAAGUCGUUGAGUCGCUAGAACCAUGAACUGCACCCCUUUUCCCAAAACUGAUUGGAAUAGUAAGUAAAGGUUAUGGAUUCAAUUUAGACGUAAUUUCCAAAUCCUACAACAUAACGCGUAAACUUAAUACAACUCUCUCUCUCUCUCUCCAUAUAUAUUAUAUAUAUACACACACCAGUGCAAACAUUAUUAUAUUGUGGUUACAUUUAUGAUAUUCCAUUCUUCAACUAAUGUAGCCUCAUCAACACUUUCCUUAAUCUAAAAACAUAGAAAUGUAGUGAAAUAAUUAGUGGAACAUGAUAUGGGAUGUAAGAAAUGUAAAGCACCAAAAGCCAUUGAAUUACAUUUAUAAAAUACCCGGAUAAAUUGUUCAUCAUUAACUUCAGUAGAAGUUGUGUGUUCCCAAUAAAAUGAUUUGCUUUAUAUUUGUCUUAAUAAAUAUUUAUACAAUAUAAACAACAUAAGCAUGUGUUCGUGGCAUACCUUACAAACAUCCCAUUGUUGUUGUAAUUUAUCAAUUAUAUUUUUGACCCGUUUAACCAACACGACACUUGCACUUUUCUACCUUUGUUGCCAUUUAACUUUGAACGCAAAUUUAUGACCAAGUAAUUUAUCAAGAACCGAUGAAAAUUCAAGUGGAUCAUCAACACCAACCUAUAAGAAAUGAAAAGCAGUGAAAGAAAGACAACAUAUGUAAUGAAAUGGUAUUUUAAAUGAUAAAAUUUCU
rnacentral:lncRNA from 1 species